AUUAUUGCAACAAGAGAAUUGUUUGAAUAAAAAUAUAGUUCUCUUCCAUACAUUUUAUUUUUUUUUUAUACAAACAAAAAUUCACACAUUUGAUCAAAAUCUUUUGUCCAGAUUACACAAAAUUUUUUUGUCUAGACUCCAAAUCAUCUAAUAAAGUCAUAUAUAGGGAUAAAAAAACAACUCUACGACCUGAUGAUGGGGAAGCCAACAGUAUUCAAGGAUGAUGUAAUGAGCUUCAGUGGUCAUUAGAUACCUAUUUAAAAUGGGAGUGAACAGAAGGAUUACAGCCUGAGACCUUUGGAUAAAUUCAAACCAUCACUUGAAAAUACACAUUUAAAAUAUUUCAUAUAGAUUUCUGCAAUCAGUAGAAUAUAUUUCUAAAAACCAUAAAAUAAGAUAUCCAAAAUAAAUAGCUCUGAUUUAAGCAUGAUAAUAUCACUGUCUUGAAAUCACAGAUAAUAUUUUAAUUGUAAUAAAAAAGAUUUAGAAAUAUAUAAGCAGAUAUUGUAAAUAACAUACACAUCAUUAUGUUAGCACCUCAGUAACCUAUAUAUUACAACUUUAAAAUUUUAGCGUUCUAUAUAAGAAAAAAAAUAUACAUUCAUAAUAUAUUAUUAAUAUGUCUAUAUACCUAUUAUCACAUAUGUACAAGUUAACAGAAUAUAUUUAGACAAUGACAUCAAGUUUUCAAAUUAGAUAAAUACCAAAAAAAACAAAGGCAAAUUGUAAAAUAACUUUAAAUAUUUAUAUAUAUAUUUCCUUAAAACGUUGAAGCUUUUGUUUUCUUUUAUAUUAUGAUGUCUUCAAAAUAGAAGAAUGACACUCACAUAGCGAUUCUCCAAAAAGGUUUAAUGGUAAAUUUCAAAUGCUAAAAAUUAUUGCAACAAAAAAAGGGUGUAAAAGUAGUUAAAAUAAGUUACAUUUUAUAAUUACAAGUGACAUUCACUAUACUAUGUAGGCAAAAUAAUAUUGAUAUAUGUAUAUAUAACAAUUAAUAUGUAAUAACAUAAUUAAAAUAGACUUUGGACUUCUUUUUAUUUUUUUUUACUUUGUUAUCUUCAGGUAUUCCAGUUUGUUUACAACAUUCCUUUAAACCAGUCAAUUUUUAUCCUACUUUUUUAAACUCUACAUCAGUGUUACCUAACUUUUUUUUCUUGUGGUGGUCAUAUGAAUUGUUGACACAUUCAUCACCUGCCACACCACAUCAAAUAGUUAUUCAGUCCAAUGGAACUGAGUCGUCCUUGCUUCAUUAUGCACUGCACAUAGAAGGUAUGAGGGGGCUGGAUAACACAGUGGUAAACCUUUUACAUACUUGAAAUUUUACAUUUUAACCCAAAGUUGCCAGAAAGUCGUCUGAUUAGGGUUCGAACUCAGAACACAGUUCAGAACACGUACCACACAACCAAGGAGCCAUCAUGCGUCAAGAUCUGCGGCAUUUAGUCAC